AAGAAAUGUAAAUUUUAUCUAAAGUAGUAUUAGUUAAGUUCUUGAAAUUUAAAGAUUUUGGCGGUAUUUUAGUCUUUUCAGAGGAACCUGUUCUAUAAUUGAUAUUCCACGAUAAAUUUAACUUAAUUUAGAAAUUUAUAUAUCGUCGUAAGUUGAAUUUUUUAAAAGAAUUUAAUGUUCAAGAAUUAAUAAAUUAAAAAAAAUCAGAUCAAGAUGUAGUUUAUAAUUAAGAAAGUAAUGGGUUACAAUUAAUUUAUUAAUGAAUUAAUUUUUGAAAAAUUUUAUGAAAUUGGAUUUGAAAGUAAUGAUUUUUAUUUUAUUAUUAUGAGUUAGUUCUAAAAUAUGC
rnacentral:rRNA from 1 species